ACACAUGCAAGUCGAGGGGUAUAGGUUGUUCGGACCUAGAGACCGGCGCACGGGUGCGUAACGCGUAUGCAAUCUACCUUUCACAGAGGGAUAGCCCAGAGAAAUUUGGAUUAAUACCUCAUAGUAUAUAGGAAUGGCAUCAUUUUUAUAUUAAAGUCACAACGGUGAAAGAUGAGCAUGCGUCCCAUUAGCUUGUUGGUAAGGUAACGGCUUACCAAGGCUACGAUGGGUAGGGGUCCUGAGAGGGAGAUCCCCCACACUGGUACUGAGACACGGACCAGACUCCUACGGGAGGCAGCAGUGAGGAAUAUUGGACAAUGGGCGCAAGCCUGAUCCAGCCAUGCCGCGUGCAGGAUGACGGUCCUAUGGAUUGUAAACUGCUUUUGCACAGGAAGAAACAACAUUACGUGUAAUGUCUUGACGGUACUGUGAGAAUAAGGAUCGGCUAACUCCGUGCCAGCAGCCGCGGUAAUACGGAGGAUCCAAGCGUUAUCCGGAAUCAUUGGGUUUAAAGGGUCCGUAGGCGGUCUUAUAAGUCAGUGGUGAAAUCUCCCCGCUCAACGGGGAAACGGCCAUUGAUACUGUAAGACUUGAAUUAUUAGGAAGUAACUAGAAUAUGUAGUGUAGCGGUGAAAUGCUUAGAGAUUACAUGGAAUACCAAUUGCGAAGGCAGGUUACUACUAAUGGAUUGACGCUGAUGGACGAAAGCGUGGGUAGCGAACAGGAUUAGAUACCCUGGUAGUCCACGCCGUAAACGAUGGAUACUAGCUGUU
rnacentral:rRNA from 1 species